UGCUUCUCAGCACUGACACGGUUGCUCACAACCUGUAACUCCCUGUUCCAGGAGCUGACACCCUCUUGUGGUCUCCACAGGUACUGACAGCACGCACAUGGUUAAGGCUGCCUUAGGGAUGGGACCUCUACACAGUACUUAAUUCUUGUUAACAAUGCACAGCAGACUACCCGCUUCCCAGUACUUGUUCUUACUAAAUUUAAUAUUUAUUAGGUAGUGUUACUUUCCUGGAACUCUUUCCCCCACAGAUUAAAUUUUAAUAUCAAAUAGGCUGUUGAUGGACCCCAACUUUCUGGUCCAUUUUGUGCAAGCAUAUUGCCUGCUUCAAAGUGUUUUUCUUCACUUAUGGAAAUUAAAUUCAAGAGGCUUCUGUUAUUUCAUUUCUUUUUUUUAAAGGGAAGACAGGAACCCAGAAUAUUAACAGCCCCAUCCUUUCUGAUAAGAAGUGUUUUGUUUGUUGUUUUUGUUUCUAAAGAUUUAUUUAUUAUAUAUGAGUACACCAUAGUUGUCUUCAGACACACCAGAAGAGGGCAUCAGAUCCCAUUACAGAUGGUUGUGAGCCACCAUGUGGUUGCUGGGAAUUGAACUCAGGACUCUUUUUAAGAUUUAUUUUGGGGUUGAGGAUU
rnacentral:lncRNA from 1 species